rnacentral:rRNA from 1 species
AUUGAACGCUGGCGGCAGGCCUAACACAUGCAAGUCGAACGGUAACAGGGGAGCUUGCUCCCGCUGACGAGUGGCGGACGGGUGAGUAAUAUAUGGGGAUCUGCCCGAUGGAGGGGGAUAACUACUGGAAACGGUAGCUAAUACCGCAUAACGUCUUCGGACCAAAGAGGGGGACCUUAGGGCCUCUUGCCAUCGGAUGAACCCAUAUGGGAUUAGCUAGUAGGUGGGGUAAAGGCUCACCUAGGCGACGAUCCCUAGCUGGUCUGAGAGGAUGACCAGCCACACUGGAACUGAGACACGGUCCAGACUCCUACGGGAGGCAGCAGUGGGGAAUAUUGCACAAUGGGGGAAACCCUGAUGCAGCCAUGCCGCGUGUGUGAAGAAGGCCUUAGGGUUGUAAAGCACUUUCAGUCGGGAGGAAGGGUGUAGGGUUAAUAACCUUAUACAUUGACGUUACUGACAGAAGAAGCACCGGCUAACUCCGUGCCAGCAGC